AGGUGGAGGUCAGCGUGCUGGGAAACUGGUGGAGGGAGGAAACUGCGGGGAGCUGGUCUCGUGUUACCUCUGUUAAAUCGCUGACAGCAGUUUAAGGUCCAAUAGGCUGGUACUCACAUGGGCUGCGUGGAUGUUUUAUAUUUCCAGAACCUAGCACAGUGCCAGGCAUAAAGUGUUCCUGGCUCUAUGCCAAAUGCAUCCUGGACUGGAAACCUCAGAGCUAUAAAGUGGAGUGACAUGGAAGACAGACACGGAGGCUGCCACGGCCACUAUGUACGUGGUAUUUGUAUCUAUGGAAACGGAGACUUAAAGUGGCUGGUUAAUUCACCAAGCCUGUUUGCUAACAAGUUUGAGCUUAAUACCUACCCCCUUACUGUGGAAUGCCUAGAACUGAGGCAUCGCGAAA
rnacentral:sRNA from 1 species